UACGUAGGGUGCGAGCGUUAAUCGGAAUUACUGGGCGUAAAGCGUGCGCAGGCGGUUACGUAAGACAGUUGUGAAAUCCCCGGGCUCAACCUGGGAAUUGCAUCUGUGACUGCAUAGCUAGAGUACGGUAGAGGGGGAUGGAAUUCCGCGUGUAGCAGUGAAAUGCGUAGAUAUGCGGAGGAACACCGAUGGCGAAGGCAAUCCCCUGGACCUGUACUGACGCUCAUGCACGAAAGCGUGGGGAGCAAACAGG
rnacentral:rRNA from 1 species